CGUACGAGCAAAAGCAGGAAUCCCCUCCGCGGCUACGUUCCGGAGCAGUGGCAUGUAGGACAGCAAAGUGUAGUUUGGGUGCGCAGGGUCUGGGGUAGGUCGACUUCCGGCGAUCUGAGGCACUCCUAAUGUCUUACAGAUAGUUUUUUUUUUUCAACGUUUAUUUAUUUUGGGGACAGAGAGAGACAGAGCAUGAACGGGGGAGGGGCAGAGAGAGAGGGAGACACAGAAUCGGAAACAGGCUCCAGGCUCUGAGCCAUCAGCCCAGAGCCUGACGCGGGGCUGGAACUCACGGACCGCGAGAUCGUGACCUGGCUGAAGUCGGACGCUCAACCGACUGCGCCACCCAGGCGCCCCUACAGAUAGUUUUGAACGAUCCUCAAAUGAAAGAAGGAAAUACACACUCCAAGAGCUCUUCCAUAGCUACAUCUUUCUAGGUGAAGGUAUGAGGAUUCUCCCGGUUUGCCUCCUGACUUUAUCAAAGGAGAGAGUCCUUGCUGAAUCCCCAUCUACACAGAAGACAACUUUUGGUCUCUGUGAUGCCAAAGGUGUCAGUUCCAGAGUGUUGCAACGGCUCCAGGGCUCAAGAUCUUGCUGAUGUCUGGGAUCUGUUCUGGGUCAUUCACUGUCCUGCUCUGUCGUGUAUGGAAUCCAUGGUUGGCAAGGAUCUCGCUUCAUGCCCCUCCACUAGCAUCGGAUGAGGUUUUACCUCAGUUUUCAGCACUUCCUCUGUCUUAUCUGUGCUGACAGCUUCUUUUUCAUCUCCGAGGGUCUGGAUCCCAAAGCCCUUUGACCACUGGGCUGCGCUUGAAGGACUCUCCACUUCCUCAGUAAGCCUCUG
rnacentral:lncRNA from 1 species